rnacentral:rRNA from 1 species
UAUGGCGACCGGCGCACGGGUGAGUAACACGUAUCCAACCUGCCGAUGACUCGGGGAUAGCCUUUCGAAAGAAAGAUUAAUACCCGAUGGCAUAGUUCUUCCGCAUGGUAGAACUAUUAAAGAAUUUCGGUCAUCGAUGGGGAUACGUUCCAUUAGGUUGUUGGCGGGGUAACGGCCCACCAAGCCUUCGAUGGAUAGGGGUUCUGAGAGGAAGGUCCCCCACAUUGGAACUGAGACACGGUCCAA